UACAGAGGUGGCAAGCGUUGUUCGGAAUUACUGGGCGUAAAGGGCGCGUAGGCGGCCUUCUCAGUCAGACGUGAAAUCCCCCGGCUUAACCUGGGAACUGCGUCUGAUACUGGAAGGCUGGAGUUCGGGAGAGGGAUGUGGAAUUCCAGGUGUAGCGGUGAAAUGCGUAGAUAUCUGGAGGAACACCGGUGGCGAAGGCGGCAUCCUGGACCGAAACUGACGCUGAGGCGCGAAAGCCAGGGGAGCAAACGGG
rnacentral:rRNA from 1 species